CGGCGUGGCAUAUGCAUAGCAAGUCGAACGAGAUACGCAAGUAUCGAGUGGCAAACGGGUGAGUAACACAUAGAUAACCUGCCCUCCGAGUGGGGAAUAAUUACUCCGAAAGGAGGACUAAUACCGCAUACGAUGGCUUUUCACAAGAAGAGUUAUUAAAGCAGCAAUGCGCUUGAGGAGGGGUCUGUGUCCGAUUAGCUUGUUGGUGGGGUAACGGCCUACCAAGGCCAUGAUCGGUAGCUGGUCUGAGAGGAUGGUCAGCCACAUUGGGACUGAGACACGGCCCAGACUCCUACGGGAGGCAGCAGCAAGGAAUUUUGCGCAAUGGACGAAAGUCUGACGCAGCAACGCCGCGUGAAGGAUGAAGGUCUUCGGAUUGUAAACUUCUUUUAUAAGGGACGAAUGAUGACGGUACCUUAUGAAUAAGCUUCGGCUAACUACGUGCCAGCCGCAGC
rnacentral:rRNA from 1 species